GGGAGGUUAGUCCAAUUCAAGACUUCUGAUUUCGGCUCAGAAAAUUAAGGUUAAAGUCCAUAACCCCCCU
rnacentral:tRNA from 1 species